rnacentral:rRNA from 1 species
GACGAACGCUGGCGGCGUGCUUAACACAUGCAAGUCGAACGAGACGAUUGAAAGCUUGCUUUCGAAAGUCGAGUGGCAAACGGGUGAGUAACGCGUAGACAACCUGCCUUUGAGAUGGGGACAACAGUUCGAAAGGACUGCUAAUACCGAAUGUUGUAUAUUUUCCACAUGGAAGAUAUAUUAAAGAUGGCCUCUAUUUAUAAGCUAUCGCUCAAAGAUGGAUCUGCGUCUGAUUAGCUGGUUGGUGGGGUAACGGCCUACCAAGGCGACGAUCAGCAGCCGGUCUGAGAGGAUGGACGGCCACAGUGGGACUGAGACACGGCCCAGAGUCCUACGGGAGGCAGCAGUGGGGAAUCUUCCACAAUGGACGAAAGUCUGAUGGAGCAACGCCGCGUGAGUGAAGAAGGGUUUCGGCUCGUAAAGCUCUGUUGUCGGGGACGAAUGUGCAGUAUUUGAAUAAAGUACUGCAAUGACGGUACCUGACGAGGAAGCCACGGCUAACUACGUGCCAGCCGCCGCAGUAA